CUUCGAGGGAGGGCCAGUGGGGCUUGCGGUACCGUGUAGGUGAGACGAUAUAUACCACCAGAAACUGGGAUUUGCCGUUUGCCUAAGUGUUCAACGCAUUCGCAAUCGUCAUAAUCGACACCCCGUCGAAACAAACAGGCGACGAUAACGAACCAGUGAGAAUCGAUAAACCGAUAAAAGCGUGUCCCUUGCCUCCCUUCGUCCCUCUUCGUCUAACGAACGAAUAGUUAACAAACGACUAUCAUACAGGUUACAUCCUGCUGAACUUUCACCUUUCACAUGAGAUUUAUCGCUUGAGGAACGAGCAGGAGGCAAGACGGCUUUUACGACAAGAGCGACAAGACCAGAAGCGAGCAGUCAAGCACGCAUGCAGUCAAGCUGGCCGCCUAAUCCAUUUGUACAAUAUACUAUGUAUACUUGUAUACCGACGCGACGAAGAAUCCAACUAUAUCGUACACAGUAUACGUUUUCGCAUCAUCGUCCAGAGAGCGCAUGCAAAUCGAGUGCAAUCGGUUUUUAGCUUCCUGCGUUAAGAAUUCCGUCGGGUAUGCGCCAGUAUGCGACCAGUUAUUACAUUAGAUAAACAUCUAAACAAUUGAAAAACAUAUAUAUCGAUAAGAAAGCUGCGAAUAAUCGUCGUUACAAAUUAUUUUUCAUCGCAAACAUCGCGAUCGAUCCUUUCUAUCUUUGUACAAAUAUACGCGAGGCUACAAAAAUACGAUAAAUAAACUGAUAACAAUGUGCUUUGAUCUAGAUCGUA